rnacentral:rRNA from 1 species
GACAGAGGGUGCAAACGUUGUUCGGAAUUACUGGGCGUAAAGCGCGUGUAGGCGGCUAAGUAAGUCGGGCGUGAAAUCCCACGGCUCAACCGUGGAAGUGCACUCGAAACUGGAUGGCUAGAGUCCUGGAGAGGAAGGUGGAAUGCUUGGUGUAGAGGUGAAAUUCGUAGAUAUCAAGCGGAACACCGGUGGCGAAGGCGGCCUUCUGGACAGUGACUGACGCUGAGACGGCGAAAAGCGUGG